GGCAGAGUGUAGUUCCCUGUAAUUGUGCAGCAAGUCUGAUGUUACAGGGAUGAGCUGAAAUGGUUUUAUUUUGGAGGAGAUUUUUUAAGGAGAGCUUUCAGACUCACAAUAAUUUUCAAAUAAAUAGAUUUAUUAUACUUUUCAACCAGUUAGAAAAAAAAUCUAAAUCAUUGGAGAGAGAAAAAAAAAUGACUCAAAAUCUAUCAUAGGGUAGAUGGCAUAUUUGCACUUCUGGGAGGUUUCUGAGUUAAGAGUGAUACAGAAAAAUUUUGCUUCUACAAGAUUUUUAGCAUCUACGUGCUUUUAACUAAGUAGAUCUCAGCUUGGAGAAGAAAGGAAGGAAAGGAAAAGAGAAGAGCACUAAACAGCAAGCAGCAGCAUCGCUGUGGAGUCCAAUCAAGUUAUUUCUACUCAUUGACUUCUGCUUUUGGGAAUCAAGACUUGCUAGCUUUAAAGCCUGAGUUCAGUUGAAUGAAGAAGACUGCUUUUUAUGCUUUGUUCUGCAUUAAAGAUUUGAGCAAAAUCUUUGAUUAAACAUAAAUCUCUGGCUUCAACCAGCAACUUUUCUGAAGCAUGGUCAUGAAGGUGUUGCUGCACUCCUGAAGAUGUGGAUGUCUUGGAAUUAUCACAACAUAAUGCUUCUAAACUUUAUCCAGGAUCUAUGGAGAAAGGCACUUGAGAGAAAUCUCUUUGAGUCAGUUCAAAAUUCAUAUGAAUCUAAAGCCAAUUCUCCAAUUAAUACUCUAACUAUUGCUCAGCUUCAUCUUCCACAGAACUGAACUUGUAGAAAUGACAAGUCUUACAGAAGGAUGCAACCAAUUGCUUUUUUUCUCCAUUUCAUGUACAAGUCAUCUGCACUGAAAGAAGAUAAACCAUCUAACGUAUUUGUUAUGUCUUUGCUUUUCUGCACUCAGAGAAAGAGACUCUUUUUCCAGUAACUAACUCACAGAACAGGAGGACGGGUGGCAUAUGGAGGCCAUGUAUAUACAUUUACUGUACCCACAAUAAAACAUUUAUGCUCUGUCUCUGUGAAUGAUGAUCUGUCAUCUUCUACAAUUACUACUUUGUGAACUGUGUACUUAAUUUUGGUACUUUUUUAGCUCCUGGUGUGUGAAGAAUGUGAUAUACAAGAUGGGUAGUGGUACUUUGCCUGAAAGUAAAGGUUUAUAAGAGUAUUUGUGUGAAUGUCAUUGUUCAGUGAUAAAGAUCUAAUUGAAGAAUUCAGUGAAUGUUUUACAGUGAUUGUUUUAUGUACUAUAUCUGCUUUUUAGUUCUGGAAGCAGAACACCAUCACAAUGACAAUUUAUUGUAUACUAAAAAACAAUAUUUACUAUUGAAAGGCUAAAUGUUAGCAUUACUCUUACACUUAGAUUUUCUUAAGGCACACUUAAGGAAACCUAGAAAGAAGAAUUUGUAUUUGGGCUUUUUUAAUGCUUUCCUUUCUAAAUUCUAAUGUAUGUGCUUUGCAUGGGCAGUGUAAAAUGAUCUUGUUUUGU